rnacentral:lncRNA from 13 species
AUGUGGAUGGAGUCACUGAGGGGUUUUACGAUAAACAAGGAAGUCAAUCAAAAGGCGUCAUGCAGAGAUACUGUAUCACCCAUCAAACAGUGUUAUCCAGUAUCACCCAUCAAACAGUGUUAUCCAGUAUCAUCCAUCAUGCAGUGUUAUCCAGUAUCACCCAUCAAACAGUGUUAUCCAGUAUCACCCAUCAAACAGUGUUAUCCAGUAUCACCCAUCAAACAGUGUUAUACAGUAUCACCCAUCAAACAGUGUUAUCCAGUAUCACCCAUCAAACAGUGUUAUCCAGUAUCAUCCAUCAUGCAGUGUUAUCCAGUAUCACCCAUCAAACAGUGUUAUCCAGUAUCACCCAUCAUGCAGUGUUAUCCAGUAUCACCCAUCAAACAGUGUUAUCCAAUAUCACCCAUCAUGCAGUGUUAUCCAAUAUCACCCAUCAUGCAGUGUUAUCCAAUAUCACCCAUCAUGCAGUGUUAUCCAAUAUCACCCAUCAUGCAGUGUUAUCCAAUAUCACCCAUCAUGCAGUGUUAUCCAGUAUCACCCAUCAAACAGUGUUAUACAGUAUCACCCAUCAAACAGUGUUAUCCAGUAUCACCCAUCAAACAGUGUUAUCCAGUAUCAUCCAUCAUGCAGUGUUAUCCAGUAUCACCCAUCAAACAGUGUUAUCCAGUAUCACCCAUCAUGCAGUGUUANNNNNNNNNNUGUAUAUGUUAUUGUGUGUAUGCAUGUGUCUGUGCCUAUAUUUGUGUUGCUUCACAGUUCCCACUGUGCCAUAAGGUGUAUUUGUAUCUGUUUUUUUAAAUCUAUUUUUUACUGCUUGCAUCAGUUGCUUGAUGUGGAAUAGAGUUCCGUGUAGUCAUGGCUCUAUGUAGUACUGUGCAACUCCCAUAGUCUGUUCUGGACUUGGAGACUGUGAAGAGACCUCUGGUCCGAGCUGUGCGCCGGUAGUUCAGACAGCUCAGUGCAUUCAACAUGUCAAUACUUAUCAUAAAUACAAGUAGUGAUGAAGUCAAUCUCUCCUCCACUUUCAGUCAGCAGAGAUUGACAUGCAUAUUAUUGAUAUUAGCUCUCUGUGUACAUCCAAGGUCCAGCUGUGCUGUCCUGUCCUGAGCCAAUUAAAAUGAUCUUCAGUCUCUUUCUGUAGCGCCUGACCACACGACUGAACAGUAUCCAGGUGCAACAAAACUAGGGCCAUUAGGACCUGCCUUGUUGAUAAUUGUCACUCGGAGCGGAACAGGUGAACCCAGGAGCAGACUGGAAUGAGGUAACCAAGGUAUUUAUUGAAACACGGGGGGGGGGGAUUGAAGGCCAGGGGAAGUUUGUGCGGGUUGCUAGAAACCAGGUGCGGAGGCUGAGGCUGGAGCGAGAGGUGUGGGGAGCCGUAGGGGAAUCCAUAGGAGCAUAGAGUGGAGAAUCCAGUACAGAGUAGCAGGACUGGCGAGAUGUCGGACCCGAGACCAGAGUCAGAGAGGGCAGAACUGUAGCGGAGAGGAAAACAGUGUCAGGCAAGGAAAAAAAGUACAGCAGGAACAAACGGCUAGAAACAUGGACUGACUCGGCAGAGAUUACGAUCUGGCAGUGUGGAAGUGGCAGGACUGAGCAUUUGUAAUGGUAAUGAUUAUGGAACAGAUUGCAGCUGGUGGGAAUCUGCUCUGACCAGCACACCUGUCUCCACAGACACAAUCACAUACACACAGAGAGAGGGAGAGGUAGAGAGCACUGGUGGAGUGGCAGCAGGUCAAGGAGACACCGGAUGAGCACUAGAGGGCGUGGCAGGAGCAUAUGUGACAAUAGUGCUGUUAAGAAGGUAGUGCAGUGCUUUAUUAUGGACAGACUACUGUGUAUCAAUAUGUUUUCACCAUGACAGUUUACAAUCUAGGCUUACUCCAAGCAGUUUAGUUACCUCAACCUGCUCCAUUUCCACAUUAUUUAUUACAAGAUUAGAUUGAGGUUAAAGGUUUACUCAAAUCUAGUGGUGUGACAUUAGUAAAGAUUUUAAAAAGUAAGGGGCCUAGACAGCUGCCCUGGGGAAUUCCUGAUUCUACCUGGAUUAUGUUGGAGAGGCUUCCAUUAACCUUUCUAGGGCAGGCAUUCCGCUAGCGGAACCCCUCCACAACAUUCCACUGAACAGGCAGCGCGCAGAAUUCAAAAAUAUUGUAGAAAUAUGUCACUUUCACACAUUAACAAGUCCAAUACAGCACAUGAAAGAUAAACAUCUUGUUAAUCUAUCCAUCAUGUCCGAUUUCAAAAAUGCUUUACAGCGAAAGCACAACAUAUGAUUGUUAAGUCAUAGCCAAGUCAAAAAAACACAGCCAUUUUUCCAGCCAAAGAGAAGAGUCACAAAAAGCAGAAAUAUAGAUCAAAUUAGUCACUAACCUUUGAUGAUCUUCAUCAGAUAACACUCAUAGGACAUCAUGUUACACAAUUCAUGCAUGUUUUCUUCAAUAAUGUGCAUAUUUAUAUCCAAAAAUCUCAGUUUACAUUGGCGCGUUACGUGCAGUAAUGUUUUGAUUCCAAAACAUCCGGUGAUUUUGCAGAAAUACUCAUAAUAAACAUUGAUAAAAGAUAACUGUUAUUCACAUAAUUCAAGGUAGACUUCUCCUAAAUGCAACCGCUGUUUCAGAUUUCAAAAAAACUUUACGGAAAAAGCAUAAUCUGAGAACGGCGCUCAGAACCCAAAACAGCCAGAGGAAUAUCCGCCAUUUUGGAAUCAACAAAAGUUAGAAAAAAACACUAAAUAUUCACUUACCUUUGAUGAUCGUCAUCAGAAGGCACUCCCAGGAAUCCCAGUUCGACAAUAAAUGACUGAUUUGUUCCAUAAGGUUCCAUAAAGUCCAUCAUUUAUGUCCAAAUAGCCACUUGUUGUUAGCGUGUUCACCCCAGUAAUCCAUCUUCAUGAGGAACAGGCACCUCGUCCAGACAAACUCGAAAAGUUCUGUUACAGUCCUUUAGAAACAUAUCAAACGAUGUAUGGAAUCAAUCUUUAGGAUGUUUUUAACAUAAAACAUCAAUAAUGUUCCAACCGGAGAAUUCCUUUGUCUGAAGAAAAGCACUGGAACGAGAGGUAACUCUGUCGGGAGCGCGCGUCAUGAGACCAAGGUACUCUACCAGACCA